AAGUCAUGUUGUGGACACUUCCUAAGCAUUAUUUUUAAUCUUUAUCAUGCUUCGUACAAGGAUUCACUUUCUUUUUGUUCAAAAGAGGUGAUCUCUGCUUUGAGCCU